rnacentral:rRNA from 1 species
AGCGAACGCUGGCGGCAGGCCUAACACAUGCAAGUCGAACGAACUCUUCGGAGUUAGUGGCGGACGGGUGAGUAACACGUGGGAACGUGCCUUUAGGUUCGGAAUAACUCAGGGAAACUUGUGCUAACACCGAAUGUGCCCUUCGGGGGAAAGAUUUAUCGCCUUUAGAGCGGCCCGCGUCUGAUUAGCUAGUUGGUGAGGUAAAGGCUCACCAAGGCGACGAUCAGUAGCUGGUCUGAGAGGAUGAUCAGCCACAUUGGGACUGAGACACGGCCCAAACUCCUACGGGAGGCAGCAGUGGGGAAUCUUGCGCAAUGGGCGAAAGCCUGACGCAGCCAUGCCGCGUGAAUGAUGAAGGUCUUAGGAUUGUAAAAUUCUUUCACCGGGGACGAUAAUGACGGUACCCGGAGAAGAAGCCCCGGCUAACUUCGUGC